rnacentral:rRNA from 2 species
GAUUCGUCACACUAUCAUUAACUGAAUCCAUAGGUUAAUGAGGCGAACCGGGGGAACUGAAACAUCUAAGUACCCCGAGGAAAAGAAAUCAACCGAGAUUCCCCCAGUAGCGGCGAGCGAACGGGGAGGAGCCCAGAGCCUGAAUCAGCAUGUGUGUUAGUGGAAGCGUCUGGAAAGGCGCGCGAUACAGGGUGACAGCCCCGUACACAAAAGCGCAUGUGCUGUGAGCUCGAUGAGUAGGGCGGGACACGUGGUAUCCUGUCUGAAUAUGGGGGGACCAUCCUCCAAGGCUAAAUACUCCUGACUGACCGAUAGUGAACCAGUACCGUGAGGGAAAGGCGAAAAGAACCCCGGCGAGGGGAGUGAAAAAGAACCUGAAACCGUGUACGUACAAGCAGUGGGAGCACCCUUCGGGGUGUGACUGCGUACCUUUUGUAUAAUGGGUCAGCGACUUAUAUUCUGUAGC